rnacentral:tRNA from 1 species
GCCUGGGUGGCUCAGUGGGUUGAGUUUCUGACUUUGACUCAGGUCAUGAUCUCAUGGUUGGUGAGUUCGAGCCCCACAUCGGGCU